rnacentral:lncRNA from 1 species
AACUGCAUGCACCAUCAUGAGAAGAAAGAGAGGCUAUAAAUACCUCAUUCCAUCCUCCACUAUUUCACCAAUUUCACAACACAAUCACACCUUCCCACAUUAAUACAACAACAAGCUAAGUCAUCGUCAUUCAAACAUUCUCAGCAACAAAAAUGAAGGGAUCAUCAGUGGCAGUGAUUUCAAUGGUGGUUGUGGUCGCCAUGGUGGCGGCAAUGCCAGCU